UAGUGAGUUUGAUCCUGGCUCAGAGCGAACGCUGGCGGAAUGCUUAACACAUGCAAGUCGCACGGGGGCUUCGGCCUUAGUGGCGGACGGGUGAGUAACGCGUAGGAAUGUGUCCGAGGAUGGGGGAUAACGUUGGGAAACUGACGCUAAUACCGCAUAACUCCUGAGGGAGAAAGCCGCGAGGCGUCUACGGAGCAGCCUGCGUACGAUUAGCUUGUUGGUGGGGUAAAGGCUUACCAAGGCGACGAUCGUUAGCUGGUCUGAGAGGAUGAUCAGCCACACUGGGACUGAGACACGGCCCAGACUCCUACGGGGAGGCAGCAGUGGGGAAUAUUGGGACAAUGGGCGCAAGCCUGAUGCAGCGACGCCGCGUGAGGGAUGACGGCCUU
rnacentral:rRNA from 1 species